AUUGAACGCUGGCGGCAGGCCUAACACAUGCAAGUCGAACGGCAGCACAGUAAGAGCUUGCUCUUACGGGUGGCGAGUGGCGGACGGGUGCGGAAUACAUCGGAAUCUACUUUUUCGUGGGUGAUAACGUAGGGGCACUUACGCUAAUACCGCAUACGACCUACGGGUGAAAGCAUGGGAUCUUCGGACCUUGCGCGAUUGAAUGAGCCGAUGUCGGAUUAGCUAGUUGGCGGGGUAAAGGCCCACCAAGGCGACGAUCCGUAGCUGGUCUGAGAGGAUGAUCAGCCACACUGGAACUGAGACACGGUCCAGACUCCUACGGGAGGCAGCAGUGGGGAAUAUUGGACAAUGGGCGCAAGCCUGAUCCAGCCAUACCGCGUGGGUGAAGAAGGCCUUCGGGUUGUAAAGCCCUUUUGUUGGGAAAGAAAAGCAGCAGGUUAAUACCCCGCUGUUCUGACGGUACCCAAAGAAUAAGCACCGGCUAACUUCGUG
rnacentral:rRNA from 1 species